rnacentral:rRNA from 1 species
AUUGAACGCUGGCGGCAUGCCUUACACACGCAAGUCGAACGGCAGCACGGACUUCGGUCUGGUGGCGAGUGGCGAACGGGUGAGUAAUGUAUCGGAACGUACCUUAGAGUGGGGGAUAACGUAGCGAAAGUUACGCUAAUACCGCAUAUUCUGUGCGCAGGAAAGCAGGGGAUCGCAAGACCUUGUGCUCUUUGAGCGGCCGAUAUCAGAUUAGCUAGUUGGUGAGGUAAAAGCUCACCAAGGAGACGAUCUGUAGCGGGUCUGAGAGGAUGAUCCGCCACACUGGAACUGAGACACGGUCCAGACUCCUACGGGAGGCAGCAGUGGGGAAUUUUGGACAAUGGGGGCAACCCUGAUCCAGCCAUGCCGCGUGAGUGAAGAAGGCCUUCGGGUUGUAAAGCUCUUUCAGCCGGGAAGAAAUCGCAUAGGCUAAUACCCUGUGCGGAUGACGGUACCGGAAUAAGAAGCACCGGCUAACUACGUGCCAGCCGCCGCAGUAAGAC